CCUCGGUUGCGUGUAAAACCCAGUGCUCAUCGUAUCACGGAAAGCUUGUCUUUACAAUUACGUUGUCAGAUGGUUGGCUACUAAUGACGCCCGACUGUGCCCCAGGCUCUGUCUGGAGAAGAGCAUCCCGCAAGGGGAGUGAGACGUGCUCCUCUCUGAGAGUGAGGGGACAGUGUCCAGCGCAGUCGUAUGGCUGCUCUGGCUCCCCUGGAGGUGGAGACGGGCACUGCCACAGGUGACUCAAGGGCCUGUCUAGAGACCAGCCCCGCCACCUGUUGACCAUAGAAAUCCACAGAUGGACACGGCUCUUGCUGGAGGAAGGCAGGGUGUUGGAGACACUGCCUGAGGCUGUUUAACCUCCAAGCGCCAGGAUGGGCUGUGUCACUUCAAAGCUCUCUUCCAGAUCCUAAGGCUUCAAGUUCCAGGACGGUAAGCACCCAAGGCCUUGGGAUUCAGAGGACAGAGAAUUCCAAGUGGUGUAAAUCCUGAGACUCUGAGAUAGUGUCCUCAGGAACAGCAUCCCCGGGCCGCCCUCCUCCAUAGAAAUCACACAGCUUAUUCAAACCCAUGGGGGCGCCUCCCCUUGACAUUGGGGAAGUCAACAUUUCUGCCCAGAAGCCUCGACAGCCAUCCUGUCACCAGAAAACCAGAGCUCUGCAGGGUCUGUGAGACACCGGGGGAGGGCGAGUGGCAUCCUCCAUUUCCUCUUCACCGAAGCUGGUGGAAGGGUGUGUCUCCGGCCUCUGGGGCUCCCUGUGGGCAACAGUGGGAUUGGAUCAUGGCAGAGGGCCUGGGGGGCCUGCCUCCCACCGGACACUGGAAGCAGCUCCUUGGCCUCCCUCCUCCCACCCUCUCCCAAGUCCCAGCUGUGUCUGACUCAUUGGCCCCUCAUCCCACCCCUUUACCACCUGACACAGCUGACAGAUGGAUCCCCCACCCCCCAACCCUGGGGCAUGGGCAACUGGACUAACCGGUAUUUCUAGACUCAGAGUCAAUGCAGGGGUGGAUACUACCCUGGCACUGAGCUAGGAUUUCACCUCUACCCACUUUGGUGAUCCUUGUCGGACUCUGAAGUGCCGUGUAUUGACUCCACGUCGCACUCGAGGAAACUGGGGUGCAGAGGGUUGAAGCUACUGGCCCAGGAUGAAGAGCUGAGCUGGUGCUUCUCUACACGCCACCCAAGAGCCCCACGCCGGCCUUCACCACCCCCCUCCUCUGUGUUACAUGAUCCUCACCCUGCGGAGGCUGCAGGAGGAGUGUUGGCAAGUGUGGCAUCUCCGGGGAGUGGUGAGCCCUCGGGAGCAAAGCCAGGCUCCGGGCUGGGCGGGGGAGGGG
rnacentral:lncRNA from 1 species